AGCUUUUACUUCAUGUCCUCAAUGAAGAAGAGCUGGGAUGAAAGCAGAAGAUACUGUACAGAGAGAGGAGCAGAUCUGAUCAUCAUAAACAACAGAGAGAAACAAGAUUUUGUUACAAAAAUUACUGAUAAAAGAGAAUUCUGGAUUGGUGUGACUGACAUCGUGGAAGAAGGCAGAUGGAAAUGGGUUGAUGGCACCGGCGUGACCUCUGGGUUCUGGGCAUCCAGUGGACACAUAAGAGAGCCAAAUGGAGGAAGACUAGAGAAUUGUGCUGUUACUUAUUUAAAAAAAAAAACCUGAAUUAAUAGGGUGGAUUGAUGUUAAUUGCAAUGGUGCUUAUCAAUGGAUCUGUGAGAAGGGUUUUUGGCCCUAAGAACAGCAAACUUUUUUUC